AGUAGUUUGAUCCGUGGCUCGAGGACGACGCUGGCGGCGUGCCUAACACAUGCAAGUCGAGCGGACUUAUCAUUGGAAAGUGCUUGCACCGGAAGAUGACAAGUUAGCGGCGGACGGGUGAGUAACGCGUGAGCAACCUGUCCUCUACAGGGGGAUAAGACCGCGAAAGUGGUUCUAAUACCGCAUGAGACCACGGUAAGGCAUCUUACAGGGGUCAAAGGAGCAAUCCGGUAGAGGGUGGGCUCGCGUCCGAUUAGAUAGUUGGUGGGGUAACGGCCUACCAAGUCGACGAUCGGUAGCCGACCUAAGAGGGUGAUCGGCCACAUUGGGACUGAGACACGGCCCAGACUCC
rnacentral:rRNA from 1 species